ensembl:lncRNA
AUGUGGAGACUAAAAGUCCCGGUAGUUUAGAGCGGAAACUAAUGAAAUGCCGCGUGAUAGAGAUGUGUAGAGCAAUGCCUGGCUUAGAGAUAAGUCUGUUCCUCUGCUCACCCCCUCACAAGAUGUUCAAAGAAAUGGAAAGACAACUCAUUUCAAACUGGUAAACUGACACGCUUCUCAGAGAGCAGCUAAUUGCUUUGUGCAGGUGGACAAGGUGCCCGCUGGCGUCGCAGAGCACUGAGGAUGAGGUGCCCAUGAAAAAUGAGGAUGCCAAAACUCAGGUCCAAGAGUUUGGAUUAAAAAAAUUAGGAAAUGGCACGGCUCUUGGACGUGUGCUUUGGGAUUCAGGUGAAGGGGGGAGGGAAGGAGGUUCUGCCUUUCUCUGUCCCCUCUUUGAAGCUACAGUGGGAGCUGUCAGCAGCAGCAGGAGCUCCUCACGCUGAGGCUAAGGCUGUGGCCCCUCUCCCUUGUUGCACCUCCCAGGCACUGCUGGGCACGAGGCCCUGAGAAAUGGGGCAGAAAGGGAGAAAUGGUGAAGAAAAAGGGGAGAAAGUGAAGAAGCUGCUGUUGGGAUGGGAGUGUGCUUGGAGCAAUCCCGCUGUUCAGCCAUUCCCUGCUGAGAAGGGCAUCUUGGAGUCUGCUAGCUGCAAGAACAUGCCCCACACGUACUGUGCCCUGUCCUUGGGAGGGCUGGACAGAUGGUGAGGGUGAGCUUGAUGAACAUUUCUCUCUGAAAGGAAUCAUGCAUUCAUUUAGGUGACAAGUAAUGCGUUUGCCCCUGUGCCCCACGCCCCGGGGCAUGGCAGCAGCGCCCAGCGAGAUUCAGUCCCUGUCAAGCUGCAGCCAUCCCUAGGAGCAAAAUUGUUGCCGCUCAGUUGGACCCACUGCAACGUCAGCACAGGCCUGAGGUGUGUGGGGCUGCACAGCCAUGCAUCGUUCCUGCCUCACGGUCUGGAAAUAUAUAAAGGAAGCUGGGGCUGCAGCCCCCUGCAAGCACUGGUAACCUGCCCUGGGUGGAUCAGCCGCUCUGGUUAAACGGGUCGCUGCCCUUCCUCUUUGGGCCUUCCCCACCAUUGCUGAACGAUACUGCCAUCGAGAUGACCACAUCUUCAUCACCCAGGCUGGACCACUGCUGGAGGGGACCAAGAGCUGGCCUACUGGGCCACCUGCUUUCUUACCAGGACUGACACUCCUACCAAGCAAGGAAACGAGGGACUGCAGAAAGAAAGGAGGUCUCCUGGGCAGACCUUUGGUGCCUCUUGAGAGAGCUGAAUCUACCCCAAAGUGACCUG